GCAUUGGCGCGGCUGGCGGCUGCAAUGAGCUCCCGCGAGUCGUCGCUGCGCAUGAAGAGGACCACGACGCGCGCGUUGGGCUUCUGCAACAGUUCUCGGAUCACGCUGUCGUAGGACUUGCGGAUGUUGGAGCGGCCCACCUUCUCCGCCGUAGCGAUGCAGAUGUUGCGCAGGCGGGCUUCCUGCUCGAAGGCCUCGAUCCCUGUCUCCCCGUAAUCACCCUCGGAGGCUACUGUGGACACGUAGGUCCAGUUGAAGAAGCGCAAGAUCUCAGCCAUGGCUUUGGCCUGGUAGAAGUCGGGGGGCACGGUCCUGGCAAAGUAAUCAUAGCGCGACUUAUCACUGAGUUUGGCGCUGGUGGAUGCGUAGCUGAUCUGAGGGAUCUGGAAGAGCCGCAGCAGGACUAGGAGACUCUGGACAAAAUGGCCUAUACUGACUUAUUUAGGCAUAGGAAUAUUGCUUCACUCAGCCUGACUGAAAUGGCAGGUGUCACCAAACAGGUACUGUCAUUACUUCUAGAAUGAGUGCCUGGCUUCCACUGGAUUUAUGUACCACUAUGGAAGGCUUGGUGAUAGGAGCCCUGUCUAUGCAUAGCUUGACUUUGUUAAGAGGUUUCUGGCUAGCACUGGAGAGGCCAUCUCUUCUUGAUACACUACAAUGAUUUUCUCAUCUUCAAGUUAUAUUA
rnacentral:antisense_RNA from 1 species